GCGAAUUUGUUUUUGAGAGCAAAGUUCUGUAACACGUAGACUCUGAGUACGGUAGAAGUCAGUGCACUACAGAACUUGGUUUUCAGAGACCAGUGGAC
ensembl:miRNA MIR148A microRNA 148a